GAUGUUUCUGAUUGGUGGUCCAAACUUUCCUGAGAACCACUGCAUUGAACAAGGAGAUGAUCUGAGACAGGUGAAACCAGUGGAAUGAAUGUUUAAGAAACCUGCAAGCUUGGGAAAAAAGGCCAGCAACUUGGAAAGAUUAAUCAAAAGGAUAUUUGGGAAGCUUAUCACCUCCACCUCUUGUUUGGUUUGUUUGUUUGUUUGUUUGUUUGUUUGUUUGUUUGUUUUUGAGACAGAGUCUCGCUCUCUCGCCCAGGCUUGAGUGCAGUAACAUGAUCUAGGCUCACUGCAGCCUCUGCCUCCCGGGUUCAAGGAUUCUCCUGCCUCAGCCUCCAGAGUAGCUGGGACUACAGGCACAUGCCACUGUGCCAGACUAAUUUUUGUAUUUUUCUUUUCUUUUUUAGUAGAGACAGGGUUUCACCAUGUUGGACAAGCUGGUCUCAAACUCUUGACCUCAGGUGAUCUGCCCGCCUUGGCCUCCCAAAGUGCUAGAAUUACAGGCAUGAGCCACCAAGCCCAGCCUCUCCUCCACCUCGUAAGUGUUUUCAAAGUAAAGCCAGAAUCCUCAACUGCUUCUGCCCCCAUGAAAUCAUUACCCUUCAAUGAGCCAAUUCAAAUGCUGCUUCUUUUGUGAAGCUUUCUGCCACCACCCUUCCCUCCCAGAAUGUUGUACUUUCCCUGAUCUGCUUCAUAACACCUCCUUCCAAGCACACAUAGGAUUUCACGCAUCCUCUAGUAGCUAGGUGGUACAGGUCUGAUUUCCCAUCAGACUGUGAGCUUUUUGAGGGCAUUCAUAAUGACCUUCUUUUCUGUAGUGCCUACAAUUACAGCAGAAAAGCAGCACUCAAAAUGUUUGUUGAAGCUCUCCAGUGAACUGGGGUUCUAAUUAUUGAGUGAAGAACUUGACACUAAGUGGCUGUUGCCUGCAUUAUCCCAACCCAUCUCUGCAGAGAGAUGGGAGCAGCAGAGGGCGCUGUCACUGCAGGUGUAGGGGCAUUUUUCCUCUCCAUGACAUGCCAGAUGGCCCCCCGGGGCCACAGCUCCACCGUAAGAGUCCCCAAUUUUGUUUUGUUUUUUUACAGUGAGGGUGUUCUAGAGGAAAGGGCUCAACGAAUCCAAUUGCAAUAGCUCCAGUUUGUGAUAAAGAUGACAAUUUUUUUUUAUUUGAGACAGAGUCUGGUUCUGUUGCCCAGGCUGGAGUGCAGUGGCACAGUGUUGACUCACUGCCACCUCCACCCCCGGGGAUUCAAGCAAUUAUCGUGUCUCAGCCUCCCGAGUAGCUGGGAUUACAGACCCCAACCUCCAGCUAACUUUUGUAUUUUCACCAUGUUGGCAAGGCUGGUUUUGAACCCCUGAUCUCAAGUCAUCCUCCUGCCUCAGCCUCUCAAAGUGCUGGGAUUACAGGCAUGAGCCACGGUGCCUGGGCUGACAAAUAUUUAUUAUUGAGUUUGUGGAACCCAGAAUGAUCUAGGGCCUCAGUGGCCACUGAACCCUGGGGCACACUUGAACAAAAAUAUGGGCUUCUCAGCCACUAUGCCUUGACAUCCUCUCUAAUCAGAAGUUUGUGUAAUAAGUGCAAAAGACAAUAUUCACAGUGACAAUGAUACUGUGAACUGCCAUAGGGAGAGUAGACAUGACUGUGGUGACAAUGCAGCGGCAGCAGGACCCUGUCCUCUCAUAAGUGGGCAUCCUUUCCCCAUGUGAACACCACAUAGCAGAAACGCCCAUCUUCCAAAGCCCUUUUAUCAUGUUAUGAAUUAUUUACACUUCCAUAUAUUUCAGUUAAAGAGUGGUAAUCAGAUCUGUAUGGAUGCCACUUGGGUCAUUUGUCAUUUCACUUGAAGGCAAAGAAAUGUUUUUAACUGGUAAGUACAACCUUAUCAUAAAAGUCUAUUUUCUGUAAGAAAUACUGAAAAUAUAUUAAAGACCUCCCUUAGUGCCCUUCAGGACACAUAAGAAUCCUAAUAUACCAGGUUGGGAACCAUUGCUAUAGGAUUUGAAAGGAAUAGUAAAUAGUAUUAUCUGAAAGUGAAGAGGAAGAAGAGAUUCUACUUAAAAAUAUUUGUUAAAUGACUGAAAGAAAUAAAUCUAUGAAGUCGUUUAGAACAUGGUCCUUUAGGGAAAGACCUGCCUGCUGUAGAUUCCAUUCACAUUUUAUACGUUUGUAAUGCCUUACAAAGCUAGUCUUUGCACUUAAAGCUACUGCUAACUGAGCAAUAGAAUCACACCUCAUAAGGCUUAAACUGUGUAUUUAAAGGUUUUGAUAGGGGAUCCAGAAAUCUGAGUGAAACCCUGGGUUCUGCAGGUACACAUGGCUCAUGUAUAAGGCAUUUGAAGGGCUUGUGGCCUUGAUGGGGAACACUGUCAACUCUGAUCCUGUUUGUCUGAGGUUACUUGGGGUACAAGAUGAAGACAGAAGGGCGUGCCUCCCUUCUGGAACCAUCACGGCCAGCAGCCGCAUGUUGGGCAGCUGCUGAUACUCAGGGUGCCCAGGCGGGAGAUGGUGAGAGGCCAGCCCUAGCCAAAUUCCUUGCUGCUGCCAGAGGAAGCAGUCUUGCCAUGUGUGUCCACAGGGAUAAGAUUAGCUGCCGAGGUGGAGCUGAUAUCUGAGCGAGGCUCUCGAGGACACAUUCUGGAUAGAUCUCCAUAUGGGAGUUGGAUGACUGCCACCAGCCAGUCUUGGCAGUCCCCAGAAUUCUUCUGAAGUGGACAGUGGAAGAAGUGAAACAUUUGCCUGGCAGCUGGCAUCAAUGCAGUCUCUCUCUGGACAUGCAGAAGAAAAGGUUCAAAAGGAACUGAACCCAAACCAGUCUUUAUUUGAUUUUAGAUGGAAUUAAAACAUUUUUGUGGGUCUCGACAAGUAUUGCCAGCACUGCACCUGCCACCCUGAUAGCAAACUCCAGUGGAAGUAACAGCAGAUCUUGCAAAUAGAGAAACAUCUGCCUCAGUUCUGAAGCAAGCAAGUGACCAUCCUCAUGCCACAAAAUAGAAGAACUUCUGCUAGAUCCAGAACUGUCACCCCUGGGUCGCAUGGAGGCCUUGAGGGUUGGGAUUCAAUCCUCAUUCCUGAGAAG
rnacentral:lncRNA from 10 species